rnacentral:rRNA from 2 species
CAACUUUUAACAACGGAUCUCUUGGCUCUCGCAUCGAUGAAGAACGCAGCGAAAUGCGAUAAGUAAUGUGAAUUGCAGAAUUCAGUGAAUCAUCGAAUCUUUGAACGCACCUUGCGCUCUCUGGUAUUCCGGGGAGCACGCCUGUUCGAGUGUCAUU